UCCCUAUAACUUCAAUGGGAAAGUCUCAAUUUCAUUACUUAAAUUCCUUGGGGAUGGGGAUAUGAAGUAGUUCAUGCUCCAGGUCUGAUCCCUUUGUGAGGACCCCCCAGGAGGCACCUGCCUGGCCUGUGGGAUCUUGGGGACUUCCUCUGGGCUCAUUUUCCUUUCAGGCUGGCCCUGGGGGGUGCCUGUGACGGCAGAACUCCACCUCUUGCUCUGUGCCCAGGUGACCCUGCUCCUGCUGCAGUUAUUACCAGAUGAAACCUGAGGGAGGAAGGCCAGGUAGUUCCCAAACGUCACGAGGCCCCAGGUGACUCAGCAAGCCAUGUGUUGAGGACUCACCGUGAGCUGGAAUCCCUGCUAGGCCCUGGGUGUAGACAGAGUGAGAAUGGAUCCAAGAGGCAAGGGUGGAACUGGUGAGACUAGUUGGGAGUUUUGCAGAAAUCCAGACCCUGGGAAUGAUUCUCACCACUGCAUCCCCAGCCGCCGGUACCAUGCCCAACGGACAGAAGCAAAUAUUCAGUAAAUAUUAGCCGAAAUGGCACUUUGUUUCUAGUUUGGGAAUAGCACUAACACAGCAACAAUCAUCUGUGUACCUAGAGGCUUCUGUUGAAUGAUUCCCGAAGACAGAUCUUUUCAAACUUGCUCAUCAAAGUUCUCACGGCAGCAAUAGAAAUUGAACACUUGGGGGCAGGCAUGAGGGGGGGCUGUCAAUGGUGGCUACAAAAUACACAAGUAUUUAAAUAUAAUUAAAAUGAUGUGGUCCAGGAAAAUGUUUGUAAUUACAGUAUUACGUCUUUUCUAUUGACUUUGGCACAUCCCUGAAGAGAGUAGUGCCUCACUUUGGUCUACACAACAGGUUCAAGAUGCAUUGAAUUGUCUUUCCCAAACAUGCUGGAGUCCUGAUCACCAGGACCCAUGACGACAACCCAAUGUAGAAAUAGGGUUUUUUCAGAUGAGCCAGUUAAGAUGAGGUCAGAAGGUAGUCCCCAACCCAAUAUCUGUCCUUAUAAUGUAGGGACAUUUGGAUACAAAGACAGGUGACUAGCAGGGAAGACACCAUGUGUACCUAAAGGCAGAGAUCUGGUGUAGCACCUGCUGUGGGAGGCUGAACUAGCCCUUGACUGGGUCUGACUCCCCUGCUGAGUGAUGUGGCAUCUGGCGGCCAUGCUGCUGGAUAGCCCCGGUCUUCUAGGAUUCCAGUGACUGUGUCUCGUGCAUGGGUGUGCCUUCCUUUAGCCCCAUGGGUCGAGCUACGCUCACCUGUUCCUUUGUGAUAUUGCCCUGCUUGGGAUAGAAUGUUCCAUGGAAGUCCCCUUCUCUUACUCUGCCCUUGGAUGUGGCCUUCCUAGAUGUCAGUCAAGCUGCUGACUUCAGACAUCAUGAAACUGGACUCAGCCCCUUGAAACCUGACCCCUUGCCUCAUUUGAAUGGCUUCUCCUCAAUAAAAGGGAUCAGCACAUGCUUCCUCUCUCUUUCUUUCUGUAGACUCUUAGGGUCAGAGGAGCCGUUACAGCACCCCCCAAAGAAAAAGGUAUCUCUGUCUCUUGUGUGGUUAUUUCCUGCAGCCCAGUUCCCCUGGAGUGACCCUGAGUGUUUUAGUUGAGAGCAACCUGGCAACCUGCAGGUCAAGAUAGGCCAAAGUCCACCAGCAAAUGCCCAGAAGCUGGGAGAGGAGGCCUAGAGGAUACCAACCCUGCUAAUACCUUGAUCUAGGACUUCUGACCUCCAUACCAUGAGACACAUUUCUGGAGUCAAACCAUUCAGUCUGUGGCACUUCACUAUGGCAGCUAGGUAAGCAAACUUGUACAGAUGUUGUGCAAUAAACUGUUUUUUUUUUUUCCUCCCAACCUAGUGGGUGUCCAAUGACUCCUUAAUCCUGAUUUGAUUUUUUUUUUUUAUUACAUAACUUGAGAGAAUGAAUGCUUGCCCGGGAGUCUGUUUGCUUAUUGAACUCUUGCUUGUCUGUGUAUGUCCUGAGGUGGGGUCUUGCUCCCACUUGGGAGGUGCCUGGAUUAGUCUGUGCUCAUUUGAUGAAGUAAAAGAUUAAUUAACAACCUAAUUGAAUUUUAUUUCAUGGAACAUCUGUCCAAUUAAGUCUGACCAAAGAAAAUAUGGUCUUUAAUACUUACAUUUCCCGUCAGCACCUAUGACUCCUUUUAAUUUGCUGAAACAAGGGCUUUGAGGCAAUUCUGCAGGGAUCAUUAUUUUACUCUCACCACCUAGACAGGUCUGCUCAGAAAUACUCAUUGUUUUCUAACAGGUAUGAGGAGGAAUUCACUCACUUCCUACUUCCGGGCUCAGGAGUGCUUGCACAUAGUAGGGCUUCAUACAAGAUGGAGAAAUGAGCCUCGGAUAAUAAGUGACACCAAUAACCAGUUAUCAUGUGGGGGUCUGAGGAGGCCUUUCCAGAGACUGAGGAGAAAAGAAGGUUCAGAAAAGAGUUUAAGGACGUCAGAUCUGAGAAACAGAGCAGAGAUUCAUUGUGAAGGGGAGGUUCACAUACCUGGGGGGCGGGCAAUCUCAAGAGCAGGGUACUCCUCCAGGGCUGGCAACCAGGCAACUGUUAGGGUUCAUGAUUAGGUAGAAUAUGUAUGACCCAAGAGGCGGGACUUCCUUAGGGGUUGGAAACUAUCGGGCAAGAUUGUGUUUCACCGUUAGGGGGUCUGGUAUGUAGGUUUCAGUUUAUAUCAACAUCUCUGGCUGUCAGGUGAUGAAUCCAGUGAUGUGGCCACAGGGUCAUGGUCCAAUCAAACAUUGGCCCCUGGCCUCACGAGAUUAAUGGUCUUUUUCUAUCCAGGACUUGUUUCUGUUUUGCUACAUUCCACAAAACUUAUGGGGAACUGGAAAGUUACAAAGUAAUUUAUGAGCUGUUCUGUGCAUCCUUACAUUCUGGCCCUUUCUGUCCCUUAGGUUCCUUUGUCCAGCUCACAAACUGUUACGAGUUGUUUGUUCUUGUAUUUUAAUAGGGAUAUUUUUCUUCAGAAACUCAGUGUUCCUUGAAUUUGUAUUUGUAUCCCUAUAUCCCUGAAUUUAUACCUUAGAUCUACUUCUAAGAAUGUGAAAUGUCUGAAAACCAAUCCUAUGAUGAGUCCCGGUACUAAGGCUACUUGCUACAACAGAUAAAACUUCAAGUCUCAAGUUUGUAUCUCACAGGGUCUGAUGUGGGUCAGAUGGCCAGCCUUUCUUGCAGCUAGAGGGUUUGUCUAAGGAGGAUGAGUGAGGAGGGGUCCUUCAGGGCAGAGAAAGAGGGAGCUGGAGGAGUCCCAUUUGCUCUUACCUGGUUCAGCCUGGAAAUAGAAGCUGGUGGCCGAUGCUCACAUUUCAUUGGCCAGCACUAGUCACAUGACCCCAUUCUAACUGGGGCAGGGUGUGCCCAGCAGGUCUUGGAAGAGUUCAAGUGUGUCUCUGUUGAAGUUUAACAGAAAAGUACCUGGGCCCGUGAAUGGGUUCAUGCAAAUGCAAGGGUAUUCAUGAGGGAAAUCUUUUUAAAAAGUAGCCUUGAAAAAAAAAAUCAGAGUUUUUACGGUAGAGAUUUGGAAACAGUCCACAUCUCCCAUGGAGGCAACCCUCAUGUUCCCCUUUUGGAGGACAGAAAAGGAGAUAAAUGAACUGAAACCUCUCCCACCCUGCUGCUGCCCCUGCCAACUGGAAACCAGAACGGAGCCUCAAGGCAGAAAACAAAGUAUAUUCCUGCACGUUUGUGCAGUCGCUUUGACAGGUGUUCACCUUUGUGUGACUGCAUUGGAGUGUGGGUGAGGUUAGCACUCGAGGCCCCAAACUCUGAUUUGUGAGUUUCCUACAACUUUCUUUAUCCCACAGGGGCUUCAUGUCAGAGGCACCUGGGUUCCAGAACAGAAAAGUGAAAGGUUGGUCUGCUAUUGAGGUGCUGGGACUCUCCCCGAGGGAGCCAGGGUGCCUGGGCAGAGUCUGAGAAUCACCAGUGAGGAGGGUCCUUGGCAGGUAGAAGCAUUUCUCUGGAGGUGACUCUUGGCAUGAAGGAAAGGUUUUCUGGUUCUGAGUGUCAGGCUUCUUUGUAACACCCACUUGGCACCAAGGGAAGACCCAGGAUGCCAAUUCUAAGGCUUUUCCAAACCUGCCUUCCUUCUCUUUGAAAUAAAUGGCAAGUAUUGAUCAGCAAAACCUUGCUGUUUUUCGCUUAAGGCCUUCAGUCAUUUCUAAUUAUGGAUCUGCCCUGGACAUUUUUUUCAAACUCAUUUUACCAGGAAGUUGGUCUGGACAAGAGUUGCAGGGGCGAGGUCUCGCUGCACUGGCUUUGUGCCAAAUACGCUCCUGAUGUGCUUUACCAGCGCUAUCAGGCGAGGCAUUUUCAAGCCUUGAGUUUGAAAAGUGAUAGAAUCGGCCUGUUUCACAAUUUUAUCCCAAGGCGAAGACGCAUAAAACUAACAGUGAUAAGAAUUUUUGUUACUUAAAUGUCUGUCUGUGUGGCUGGCACUGUGCUAGAUGCUUUAUAUGUGUUAUUUCUAAACUUUAAAAAGGACUGCAAUCGUGCCCAUUGGAUAAGUAAGAAAAAUUGGAACUUGGGAGGGUUUACAUAUAUGUCACUAGCUUGAAGUUAUAUACUUAGCAAGUGGCGGAGUCAGUUUACAAAGUCACAGGUCAGUAGUGGAUUUAUAAUGCAGGCCCCUGUUUUCCAGAUGAGGAAGGAGCUGCAGGGAGGUUGUGGGACCCUCCCAAAGUGACUCAGUUUAUUAGUGACAAGUCAUAACCCAAACCUGGGGUUCAUGAUUCAGUCAGUGGUCUGCUCUGUGUUACCCAAUGCACAUUUACCCUGGAUGCCCUUAUCUUUAGACCAGAAGAGAAGUCAGGGACUGGCCACCACUAGGUAGGUUCAGGGCGAGUGCUGGUCACAGGCAGGAUUAGAGGGUUGAGACUUUCACCUUUACCCCAACCCCAACCUCUGAACUGAGCCGUGGCGAGUGCUGUGAUCACGCAUGCCUAAGCAAUGAAGCCUCCCUGAAGACCCCAGAGGGUGGGUUUGGGGAGCUCCUGUGCAGCUGAGCACACACAAGCUCUGUGGCCUGCCGCAGUCUGGCUGGGCACAAUCAGGAGCCACUUGUCAAAAGAAACUAACUUUAUUUUUAGAACCACACACGACAAACAAAAUAGUCUCUCAGGAAAAACCCUCAGAGCCUCAACUGCCACCACCGGCUUUCCCCAAGCCUCUCUCUCCCACCAAGCUUCUCUCCACCUCCCACAAUCCUCCUGCUCUUGAGGCCGAUUGGCUGGGUCACGUGGGCGGAGCCAAAAAAGUCCCCCAAUGAGCAGCUCCGUGGUCUGAAAGGGCAGGGAAACAGUCCAAUGAGCAUCACCGCAGAGGAGCCAAUCAGCUAGAUGUUGCUGGGGCCGCUGUGAGCCAAUCAUCAGCCAGCAGCUGGAAGUUUGCUGGCAGCUGGAAGUUUGCUGGGGCCCCUUUGGCUGUGGCUCUCAACAGUGGCCCUCCCGGCAGACCCCGCCCUGGGCUUCUCC